rnacentral:rRNA from 1 species
AGCGAACGCUGGCUGCAGGCCUAACACAUGCAAGUCGAACGAACCUUUCGGGGUUAGUGGCGGACGGGUGAGUAACACGUGGGAACGUGCCUUUAGGUUCGGAAUAACUCAGGGAUACUUUUGCUAAUACCGAAUGUGCCCUUCGGGGGAAAGAUUUAUCGCCUUUAGAGCGGCCCGCGUCUGAUUAGCUAGUUGGUUGAGGUAAUGGCUCACCAGGUCCACGAUCAGUAGCUGGUCUGAGAGGAUGAUCAGCCACAUUGGGACUGAGACACGUACCAAACUCCUACGGGAGGCAGCAGUGGGGAAUCUGGCGCAAUGGAGGAAAGCCUAACGCAGCCAUGCCGUGUGAAUGAUGAAGGUCUUAGGAUGGUAAAAUUCUUUCACCGGGGACGAUAAUGACGGUACCCGAAGAAGAAGCCCCGGCUAACUUCGUG